GGGAGGUUGGCCGAGUGGUUAUGGCGCUAGUUUCAGGGCAUCUUCUUGAAUAGAAAGUUCCGAUCUAAUGGAUAUCCUCUAGAUUACUAGUUGGGUAACCUUCGUGGGUUCGAGUCCCACACCUCUCA